ensembl:lncRNA
CUUUGUUGUGUGCAUGAAAGCGGAGCAUCUUAAAUAAUCUUGAGUUCAAGAGCUGUGGCUUCAAAACUCCAACACGUCAUAUGACCGGGGGAAAAAAUAUGGUGUGAGCUUCCAGAGCAGCUCUCCCCAUCCCAGCAGCUCCCAGCCCACUCCCAGCCAGAACUUACUAUCAUAUGCAAUGUGGCUGCAGCUCUGGGUGAGGACCUUCACACUCAGGAAUGGAGGGGAAAAACCCCAUUGGGGUCGGCCUGAAUGAGAGAAAGCAGAGGGCUGGGAGGUUUGGGGAGUAUGGUUUGGCUGAUUUAUUGCUGGGAGGAGAGAGUGGAGCUGAUGGUGAGCAGAGGACCCACAGGUCAGCACGAAACGCCCGCAGAGCCCUUCCCAUCCAGCACUGUGUGAUCAUUUUGUGCCUCUUCUUUCAGAAACGGGGACAAAAUGAGCCGUGCUGGGUCAGUCUGCAGUCACCAUUCCAUUUGUCACCACGGCUGCUCGGAUUUGAACUGAUGCCUCCGCUGCUGAUGGCAGGGCACUGCCCGCCUCCUGGUUGCAAGCACACCAAUGGCAACAGAAAAACAGCCCCUCCUCAGCGUGGUGGGAUAAUAUUUCAUAGCAUUGCCAAAAUGGACCUCGGCCAUUUAUUUUGACAGCUGUAGCUUUAAUUAUUAACGCGCCGAUUUUACAGUGUGCUGGUAAAUGGACUGCAAGGUGUUUCAUAAAAUAGGAAUGAAGCCUCAUCGUGGACUCGCUGUAAUAAAGCAGGAGGGAGGAAUGGGGGAAGGCAGUACCAAGGGACCCCUACCAGCAAGGAGGUCACGAGGAGAAGCUCUUCCUUUGGGAAACCUUGAGAGACGUCACCACGCUGAUCAAAACUUGCAGGUGGGACACAGAUUUGUUAUUUUCCAAGGGAACAGACUGUGAACCAACCAUCAACCCAUCCAGUCCGACCAUCAACCCAUCCAGUCCGACCAUCAACCCAUCCAGACCAACCAUCAACCCAUCCAGUCCGACCAUCAACCCAUCCAGACCAACCAUCAACCCAUCCAGUCCAACCAUCAACCCAUCCAGACCAACCAUCAACCCAUCACCACCGUGCCCACUCCCAUGUCCCCCAGUGCCACGUUGCUCGGUGGUUCACUGCAGGAUGGAGGGGAGCUGUGAGCAGGACAAGCAGUGCUGUUCCACGCCUCCACAGUUCCAAUCCCAUCCCACUCACCAGACAGGGAAAGAACAUCUCCGCCCUUCAGAGGACGGCGAUGUCUCAGUCUUUGCUUUCCUUGGGAAUGGAGAUGAAAGCCACAGUUUCCACAGAGAGGAAGCUGCACAGACACACACACACCGGGAUUUAGAAAGACGAAAAGCUUUCAGCCGACCGACAUUUGCUGUGUUGCUGAAAUGCUCCCCUGGAAUUGCAGCUUGGAUGUACUGUGCCUUCGUGCCCCUCCACGGAGCAGAUGGCUUUGCUAUGGGAACUGAACAUUUCAUCAGAACUAGAUUUAAUGGGAAAAUAUUCCAGGUUCUGGCUGUGAAUGGGAAAAUAUUCCUGGUUCUGGUUGUGAACUUGAGGAUCAUUUCGCAUCUCUGCUGCAGUGCUCCGUUUUCCAUAGGAGGAGAACAACAGCAGCCCACCUCAUUGCAGCUCUUGGAGAGAAAUUGCUGGAGAACUUUAACUAAAAGCUCACUGCUACAGCAGGGAGUGUUCGGGGUCUCCCCGUUCCCUGCGAGGCUGGGUUUGCUCUGUAACUGAGGCGUGAUUAAUCGGUGCCCAUCGCGGAGGCUGUCCCAGGGAUGCUGCAAUCAUUCCUCCAGUAUUAAUCCGAGGGGACCCAUCACUUCAGAGCAGCACCUCAGCUAAAGCAGAUGGAUUUGGGGCAAGAGCCCUUCAGUAGUGCUCAGCACACUGAAGCCUAAUGCAGGCUGCACUAUAGCAGGUUGGAACCCCUCUGGGCACUCCGCAGUCCCACACCGCAUUUACUGACACUGACUGAUGAGAGCUGGCCAGCAGAACGUGCCGAAGAGCUGGGUGGGUCCAUAGGGUGAGAUGAUGUAAAGCACUGCCUAUGGCAAGGGGCAGGGCCCGUGCUGACCUUCAUGCUGGCAAAGGCUGGCAGAAAUCAUAGAAAAACUCAAGCUGGAAGAGACCCAUAAGGAUCGUGGAGUCCAACUCGUGGUUGAAUGAAUUUGCCCUCUGCGCUUUCCUAUCUCCAUCCCAACGGGACUUCCAACGAGAUGUGCUUUACUCUGUGCUGAAUAGGAGCAGCCACGCAUAAGGGCUCUCUGACCACACACACUACACGUUUUUGGGAGGUGGUCAAAGAAGUGGAGUGAAAAACAGUGCUGCAAAACCCCCACGGCUGGCACCUUGUUAUUUGUAUUCUGCGUGCAAGUUUCCUCUGUUUGCACGCAUUUACAUUAAAGUUUAAUAAGCCUCAUUGAAGUAUUUUCAGGUUCUGCAGAAAAACAAAAUGCCAAAGGAAGCCUCAGACUCCGGGUUCCUAAUGUCCUUGCUCAGACUUCAGCUUUUGAGAUGGCACAUCAAAAAGGAACAUCGUGAAGCUGCUAUUAUUACUAAUGUCUUCCCCAUUAUCUGAGUUGCAGGGAACAAUUAAAUGGCAUCAAUGACGUGCUGCUACGCUUGGGUACACCGCCAGGCUGCAGCGUGAUUCACCUCCUCUCUGCUCCUGCUCUUCCCCACCUGCUCCUUGUCAGCAGGCAGAGCACUGCAGCUCUGCUUGCAGUGAAACUCAAAGCAAACUUCAAAUGUUUGGAACUCCUUUCAGAAGGAUAAAAGAAAACGUGUGCUGAAAGCGUCACCUCCUGGGGGAAUUUGCCCCCUAACAGCAGCAGCCCC